UACGAAGGGGGCUAGCGUUGCUCGGAAUUACUGGGCGUAAAGCGCACGUAGGCGGCUUUCUAAGUCGGGGGUGAAAUCCUGGAGCUCAACUCCAGAACUGCCUUCGAUACUGGAGAGCUCGAGUCCGGGAGAGGUGAGUGGAACUGCGAGUGUAGAGGUGAAAUUCGUAGAUAUUCGGAAGAACACCAGUGGCGAAGGCGACUCACUGGACACAUAUUGACGCUGAGGUGCGAAAGCGUGGGGAGCAAACAGG
rnacentral:rRNA from 1 species